rnacentral:rRNA from 1 species
UGCGUAGGCGGUUUGUUAAGUCAGAUGUGAAAGCCCCGGGCUCAACCUGGGAACUGCAUUUGAUACUGGCAGGCUAGAGUACGGUAGAGGGUGGUGGAAUUCCCGGUGUAGCGGUGAAAUGCGUAGAGAUCGGGAGGAACAUCCGUGGCGAAGGCGGCCACCUGGACCAGUACUGACGCUGAGGCACGAAAGCGUGGGGAGCAAACAG